rnacentral:piRNA from 1 species
UGAAGACUUCUGGAGGUGGGUCU